rnacentral:rRNA from 1 species
UGGGGAAUAUUGGACAAUGGGGGCAACCCUGAUCCAGCGAUGCCGCGUGUGUGAAGAAGGCCUGCGGGUUGUAAAGCACUUUAGUUGGGGAGGAAAGGUAUGUACUGCAUAAGUGCAUGCUGUGACGUUACCCAAAGAAUAAGCACCGGCAAACUCUGUGCCAGCAGCCGCGGUAAUACGAAGGGGGGCUAGCGUUGUUCGGAUUUACUGGGCGUAAAGCGCGUGUAGGCGGGUCGUUAAGUUGGGGGUGAAAUCCCGAGGCUCAACCUCGGAACUGCCUUCAAAACUGGCGACCUGGACCUAAGUAGAGGCAAGUGGAAUUGCGAGUGUAGAGGUGAAAUUCGUAGAUAUUCGCAGGAACACCAGUGGCGAAGGCGACUUGCUGGACUUAUGGUGACGCUGAGACGCGAAAGCGUGGGGAGCAAACAGGAUUAGAUACCCGAGUAGUCCCUGAGCGGGCUGGCAAGGCGCAU